GAUGAACGCUAGCUACAGGCUUAACACAUGCAAGUCGCGGGGCAGCAUGUAUCUGGCUUGCCAGAUGCGAUGGCGACCGGCGCACGGGUGAGUAACGCGCAUCCAACCUGCCCAUAACCACGGCACAGCCCGUCGAAAGGCGGAUUAAUGCCGUAUGAGGUUCCAGUGUAGCAUUAUGGUGGAACGAAGGUAUUUGGCGGUUAUGGAUGGGUAUGCGUCCGAUUAGCUUGUUGGCGGGGUAAC
rnacentral:rRNA from 1 species